ACACGGACCUCUGGAUGGAGUCUCCCAGGAUGACGACGAACUUGUUGUGGAGCAGCUGCUGCACUUCAGAGGACUGCAGCUGGGCCAUGAUGCCCAGGUCCAGUGGCCCAGCUCCUUUCUUGCACGCAGGAAGAGUGACAUUUAAUAGGGCAGUAGCUUCAGAGACCCUGCAGCGAAGUCUUAAAUCACAGAGGUAAUUGUCUGGUAUUCGCUGGCACCCUGCCCCAGGGGCAAAAGGACCCCCUCCCUCUCUUGGGCCGGUGAGAAGCUGACCUGUCCACACUGACGUCUGAAAACCACCCCACCCCGGUGGAAAAUCCCUGCCGGACAAACGGCUCCCGGAAAAUGGCCAAACCGCAGGACAGACCGCAGGUUUCACCUGACCCUGGAAAGCCCCGACUGCCACCAGUUUCGGCCAGCAACAAUUGCCUCAGAAAAAUAUAAAACCUUGCCCCUGCCCAGGUUGGGCGCGGCUUCUCCUGCUCCCCUCUCUGAGCCGGUGAACCCGCCCGUGUGCUCCCAAUAAAGCCUGUUUAAUCUGG